rnacentral:rRNA from 1 species
GACGAACGCUGGCGGCGUGCUUAACACAUGCAAGUCGAACGGAAAGGCCCUGCUUUUGUGGGGUGCUCGAGUGGCGAACGGGUGAUUAACACGUGAGUAACCUGCCCUUGACUUUGGGAUAACUUCAGGAAACUGGGGCUAAUACCCGAUAGGCGCUCCUGCUGCAUGGUGGGGGUUGGAAAGUUUCGGCGGUUGGGGAUGGACUCGCGGAUUAUCAGCUUGUUGGUGGGGUAGUGGCUUACCAAGGCUUUGACGGGUAGCCGGCCUGAGAGGGGGAACGGCGACAUGGGGACUGAGAGACGGCCCAGACUCCUACGGGAGGCAGUAGUGGGGAAUAUGGCACAAUGGGCGGAAGCCUGAUGCAGCAACGCCGCGUGCGGGAUGACGGCCUUCGGGUUGUAAACCGCUUUCGCCUGUGACGAAGCGUGAGUGACGGUAAUGGGUAAAGAAGCACCGGCUAACUACGUG